UACGUAGGGGGCAAGCGUUGUCCGGAUUUAUUGGGCGUAAAGAGCGUGUAGGCGGCCAGGUAGGUCUGCUGUGAAAACUCGGGGCUUAACUCCGGGCCUGCAGUGGGUACGGGCAGACUAGAGUGCGGUAGGGGAGACUGGAAUUCCUGGUGUAGCGGUGAAAUGCGCAGAUAUCAGGAGGAACACCGGUGGCGAAGGCGGGUCUCUGGGCCGUAACUGACGCUGAGGAGCGAAAGCGUGGGGAGCGAACAGG
rnacentral:rRNA from 1 species